rnacentral:rRNA from 1 species
UACGGAGGGUGCAAGCGUUAUCCGGAUUUACUGGGUUUAAAGGGUGCGUAGGUGGGUCUGUAAGUCAGGGGUGAAAUCUCCGGGCUUAACCCGGAAACUGCCAUUGAUACUAUAGGUCUUGAAUACUCUGGAGGUAAGCGGAAUAUGUCAUGUAGCGGUGAAAUGCUUAGAUAUGACAUAGAACACCAAUUGCGAAGGCAGCUUACUACGGGGUCAUUGACACUGAGGCACGAAAGCGUGGGGAUCAAACAGG